AAGACUAUGCUUUCAGGGAUCAUUUCUAUAGUUUCUGACUUGGAAGUUUGAUUUGAAAGUGUAACGUCUCUCUAACCACGAUGACGAGUUAAGAUGCUUUCUUCUGAGCGUGAAUCGGGUGGUGAGCGACGAGCGAGAUUGUCUGCUCUCUGUCAUUGAUGAACGUUCCUGCUGUGUUUUGCAGUCUGGAAGAAGAAAGCAUGUUCAGAGUGGU
rnacentral:snoRNA from 1 species